GGCCCUAUCGUCUAGUGGCCUAGGACGUGGCCUUCUCAAGGCCAAAACACGAGUUCGAUUCUCGUUAGGGCUACCA
rnacentral:tRNA from 2 species